UUUUUUUUGAAAGUUUGCCGCAUUAGUUAUCGACCUUUAUUUUUUUUAACAUGCAAUCUGAAUGGAUAGCUCCUGUGGUCAUCACACGUUAGCGGAUAUAGUGAUGGUUGAUUCGCCCAAGCAACUUAUUACUGUGGGAAUAUAGGAGUACCAGUGGAUUCAAGGAACAGAGAAAUGAUGGUUGCUUCGUCCGAGCAACUUACUGUGGCGAAGGUGGGGCUCUGUGAUUUGACUGCUCACUAGUCAUUACUACUGCGACGCAACGACCGGGGUGAAUCUUUCCCUGAAGUUGUGUUGUGCACUCAAUAUUGCUGCAUGGUAGGUGGAGCCGGAUGAAGGAUGUCCAACAUGUCGGCGAAACGAAGUUGAAUUGUUUCGGGCAUUGCUAUCAAUCCUUCAGGAUUUGUUUAUAUGUACGCAUAAUUUUGAUGAAAUUGUACUAUGAUGCUAUGAAGGUUUCAACUCUGGUUCCCGCAGGAAAAAAAAGGUUUCAACUUAGGAUUCAUGUGUCUUGCCUCGAGAUUAUCUCGUUACAACAUUCCAUCAAAUACAAACGAAACUACCAUGGCUAAUGCAUCUCCAUAGUUCGCAGAUCAGCACCAAUAUUCACAUCACAACUGAAGACAAAGUUGUGAGAAGGUGUACAAAUAAAGAAAAAAUUAUAAUUGAUCGAUGUUGUUCGUAGGCAUGGCUCCAUUUCCUUGGCACAGUGUUCAUUGCUUGGCAGCUAGUUUCACCCAGCUCUUUAGCCAAAAAUAGGUGUAUGAAGGACACCACAAACCGAUCAUUUUGUGCAGCUCCACUAAAAUCGGGCGGACCAUCCCUGUUUGCAAAGAUAUCCAGUCAGUGUGAUUACAAUAAUAGUGGAACUAGAUGAUGAAACAUAACACACAUAAAUAGAAGCCGAUCACCUCUACGAUCUCUCUUUAGGACUAACUUCUUGUUGGAGAAGAUUAGGCACGGAGUUGAUGAGGAGGAUAGCAAAACCAAUCUCCCUUUCCGCAGUCCCACAGAAAUGUAAAAACGUUGCCUGUGUGACAUUUUGGCAGAACUGCAUAAAACACUCUUCAGAAAAGUGAUUUGUGCAGUUCACCAAAAGGUCGCAAUAGCAACAAGGUGAAAAUGGAUAGCCAUGUUUGCAAAAGGAGGUCGAAAGGAAACAAUUAUUGCCCAAUAACACGAGUUGAAGACACAUACGCCGACAAAAAAGAAGCAUGUUCCAUGUAAAAAGGGAAAGAUAGCACAUGGUGGUUUAUCAAAAAUGGUUUGAGGACGAGAUUGCAAGAUGGAAACUACGCCGGCCGAGAUACGAUUUAAGCAAACAACUAAAGAAGAUCCACAUGCAGCAACGUGGGAAGAUGGGCAGUGGAGCAAGGCCGGAGGAAGCUGUACCUGAGGGUCGUCAGGAUGUUACUAGGAGGGCGCCGGCGGCCGGGAUCUGCCCAUACUGCGGCAGCGAGCAAGUGGCGAAGGCCCUACCGCGCCGGAGCUUGGUCAGAGAGAACGGCGGGUACCGCAGAUCGGGACGAGCUGCCUCAACGCCAUCGAACGGAGAGACGAUGCACAUCCUCCCUUUCCGUCGGCGGACGGGAUGCGGUCGGAUCACUGACCAACGCUGAGAGAGAGAGGCCAUGGCGGCCUUGUGUGAGAUUGUGUGACGAGACUCACGAGAGACAAACCCAUUUUUCCAUUUUCCCCACGGCAAUCGUUUUAUAUUCUAGGCGUGGUACCCGACCCUCCUUCGAGUAAACAACCGCUACACACGUCAAAUUAUCACGUGGGCUGCCUUUUCAUACAGAAACAAACUCCACCAUGUACCCGCGCGGGUGUGGCCGGGAACGAGACGUGAGUAUGUGCGUCCUGCGUGCACUUCUUCUUUAGGUGCAGGUAUGUACGUGGGUGGGUGUGAGAGAGAUGGUUUGUGCGAAACAGAGGCAAUGUGUUGAUGACAUCUCAAUCAGAAAAACAUAACAUAUGCAAUGUGUGUGAAACAGAGUCAUGGACGUGAGAUAUCGAUAGAAUUGAAAACAUGGAUGAAGUGUGUGGCUGCGCGAUCGAUAAAUAGUGCCAUCGAAUUUGUGUUUGCCCCGUCAAAGAUACAGGGCGGCUGGCCUACUGGAAUUUGAGAGGGCAGAGGUGCAGUUCUUCUCCGUGGCAUGGAUACCUACCUAGAACAUUCGACUAUCGGUGUGUGGGGGGGGAGAGAUCGGUUGACUAGUAUAUGUGUGGGGAAGGAGAGAGACCUAGCUAUGUAUUGAGGAAGAUCGAUCGACAUCCAUGGAUAUGUGUAGCAGAGGAAUAAGGUUGGGAAAAAUACAAAGGUAGAGCGUCGGAGGGUUGGUGGUGGAGUGGCGUCUCACAAUGGUGGGAGAGGCCUGCUAGACAAACGGAGGGUAUGAGUGCAAUAUCAAUAAGAGAGGGUGGGGGAUGUCUGUCUGUCUAUGCACGUGCGUGUGAGAGACGGGUCGAGAGGUAUUCAAGGAUGAUGAGGGGAAAAGAUAUGGUUGUGGUAAGCAUGCGUAACUACAUAGGAAGAUCAACCAUCGUGUGUCCGAGAAAAGGAGAGACAUAACUAGCGAGGUAAGUGUAUCGGUACUUGGUGAAAACGAAUUAUAGUCGACCUGGCUAUAUGUAGGGAGAUCAGUUCAUAUACACACCUGCAUGUGUUAGAAGCAAAUAAGGUCCGGAGAGGCAGACAGGGGGAGAGGGUGUGGCUAGGAGGUGGUGCGAGAGGCCUACCAUGUCGAGGGGGGAGGAGUGUGCGAGCAUGUGAUUAAUGAAAAGAGGGGCAGGAGUGUGCACCUGCGUGGAAUCGUAUUGGACAUAUGGGGGCAUGGACGGUGAGAAGAGAAGAGGGGAAGUAUAUAUGUGUUUGUUGUAGGCACACUUCGCUAGAGAGGUAUAUCGACCGGUGUGUGCCAGGAAGAAGGAGCCGGGGGCCUACACACACCGCUAGUGGACGACCUAAAGAGAAAUAAUGAACGUGCGCGAUGGAGGGGACGCUAAGGGUGUGUGAGGGGGGCGGGCGUGUGCAUGCACGAUAGAAAGUUAGCGCUAGCUAGCUACAAAUAGAAGAGGAUCGUGAAGGUGUAAAAGACGAACAAACAUCAUAAUUCAUUAUAAAAAGGUGGAUACAGAUACUUGAAGAAGAUAUCAUAAUGUAGAACAUUGAUUAUAAUUUGGGCUAAUGUGUGGCUUUUGCAACUCAGGUCUAAAUACUUGUCAUAACGUAGGGGGCGGGGCACUAUACUUUGUGUGAUAAACACGGUGUAUGUAUGGAACAUGGUUUAGAUUAUGAAUAUAUAGUUAGUACAUCAAAUGUACUAUUAUUUGGAAUCAACAUCAAGUGUAUUCAAAAAAUAGAAUUCGAGUUCAUGUAGUACACAUAGUUCAUAUCUAUCUCUAUAGUAAUCAUGUGGUGUGUUAUUAAGGUAAUACACGAAUGAUGGUUGAAGUUCGCAACAAUCAUGAUUGUAGAUUCUUAUUGAAAUAGAGAAACGAAUUCAAAUUUAGUUCGAAUUGCAGCGGUAGUAUAGACAUUUGGAAUGCACUAAAAUGUUGGUAUGAGUAGGUUACAUGCAUUAUACAGCAAGCGAAAAAAUUUAAUCGGACAUAACAUGGAUUCAUACUCCCUCCUUCCAUCUAUAUAGGGUGUAAUGAGAUUUUUAAGACCGCCUUUGACUAUUGACAAGAUUAAUAGUAUAUGACAUGCACAAUGUGAAAGUUAUAUCAUUGACAAGAUUAAUACGUACCAAAUCAAUUCACAGACGAAGUUAACGGUGUGCUUUGUGUAAGUUGCAUGUCAUAUAUCAUUGCUCUAAUAUUUGGUCAAAGUUAGCAUCGAAAAACGCAUUAGGCCCUAUAUAGAUGGAAGGAGGGAGUAGCUUUGAAUAGCAUUUGUACAGUAAAACGGGGCAAGACUCUCUCUUUGUGUGGUGUGAAUAGUUUUAUUUUUUUUCGUUUUCUUUUUGGUUGAGGGAAGUGUGAAUUGAUUUGGUACGUACAAGUACAAUAUUAGUACACGUUAGGCUUGUCCCUAAAAUUCAAUCCGCGUCUUGUUAUAUCCCGAAAAUUCAGAUAUCGUGCUCCCAAAAGUGGCGCCUUCACAACCCGCGCCUUGCUAUCCCGAAAUUACAACGCGCGUGAAAACUCCCUCCAGCUGCCAAAUCCCGACACGCGAAAUCCCCCUUCUAACCCUGAGCCAAAAGGGCCGCUAGUUCAAAUCGGUGGGGGGUACUUUUGUAACACACCCUACAUUUUGGACAAGCGCGUCCCUAAGUCAUGCUUCACCCCCUCCCAGCGCCCCCUUUUCGCCAUUCAAAAUCCUAGGCCGCCAUAACCUCUUCGCUCCAGCCGCGAAACCCCACCCUCCUCCGUCCGCCACGUCACUGCUGCCCAGCCGGAGCCUCUUCCCCGACGACGUCGUCCACCGCAACAGCUCGACGUCCCUCGUCCACCUCCCCGGAUGAGGAUCCGUCGUCCAUCUCGCCGUCCAGCCUGUUCAGCCGCCCCGUCCUCCACCUCCAAGGAGCUACUCCGACGAUCGCCUCGUCUAUCGCGGGUCGCGGCUGCUCCAUCCCCACAGCGCCGCCUUAACUUGCUCCACCGGAACCGCAGCAUCCUCACCGACUCCUCAGACGAAGCCGAGGCCUACUCGGUGCCACCAAAGAGGUUGUACACUCAUCGCAUCGCACCUUCUCCUUAACUCGACCUCCCGGCACCGACGGUGCUCCAUCCUGCACCCCCAUGGAGCAGCUACCUUGAAGCCGGCGCCGCAGGCGACAUCUCCAUGGCGGCUCUCCCCUAGUGCGAGGCCCCUUCGGCGGCGGCGGCCAUACCAGCCGGAUCUGCUGCUGCUGCUCUGGCUCUCGCUCGCUCGCUUGCGUUGUUGCUGCUGCUCGGGCUCUAGCUCGAUCGCUCGCUCGCCCAGCUGUUGCUGCUGCUCUCCCCCUCGCUCGUGCUGCUGCUCUGGUCCGAUUAAGCCACACUUCAGUCGACUGAAUCGACUCUUGGGUCAGUCGAUUUUCAGGGGUUGGGGGGGGGCUCGCCGGAGUUAAGGAAGAACCACCCGCAGCGGGGACGGGGGCUCGCCGGAGAGGUACCCCACUAUCUAUCUUAGGGUUCAGGGUGGGGGCGGGGGGCCUAGAGGGCUGGUCGGGGCGGCGGUGGCGAGUUGUUUCGGGGCAGCGAGGCGGCGCUGGGGCCGGCGGUUCGGCCGGUGGUGGCUGGUGGAUCAGGGGGGUGCAGGUUGAAGAUAAAUUGCAGGCCCUCCCUCAACUACAUGUCAAGUGCCUCUCUGCUACCAUUGCGUUCAGUUUCGAUAGUAGCAUUCAGAUUCCACAGUAAAUUUCAGUUUCGAUAGUUAAGUUCAGAGUCAACAGUUUUUACCUCAUCUGUUGUAGUCAGGUGGUUUUUGGUGAUGUUAAUUUUACAUCCAUUUUACAUCAUAUAUUGGAGAUGCUAUUAGAAUCCCACUUGAGAUUGACGAUGUCUGUCUUGUGCUGCUUCAGCCUUGACGUCUUACGGCUCACCGGAGCUGCUCCAAUAAUAGAACGAUUCAUCACAAUAGAGCAGUGCCCUGGACGCCGUCUAUAGAUUCCUUAGAUGUUCCUCCACACCUCCGACAGCCACCUCUGCCUCAACUGCUUCAGCGACCAACCCAGUGAUGCUGAGGUCGACACGGCUAUGGCAAAGAGGUUGUACACUUGUUGCAUCACUUAUUACUAUACAUUCACGUCAGUCCAUUAGGGCUAUUUUGGUUCAACGGAAAAACAUAGCAAUAGGGAAUUUUCCAAUGGCACUCUACUAUUCAAUUAUUCAUGCAAUAAACUACUCUUCCUGUAAAUCAGCCAUUUGGGUGGGAGAUGGAAAAAUCUGGAGUGGAAACAAGGCCUUCAGAGCAGACAGUGCUACCUGUCGAAGCAGAUCUCUUGUUGGGUCCCGAUAGCUCCUCAGAGAUGGAUUCAGAGAUAGAUGACCAGUCCUAUUCCCCUACUGAGGUGUAUGCUCUAACUUGGCACGGUUAUACUGCUCAUAUCAUGCAUACGGUGUCUUGCAUUGCAUAGUUUAGACAUCAUAUACACAAUAUUCAACACCAUGUUCUUAGUUCAGGCAUCAUAUCGAAUGCCCUCUGUUUAGCAUAUAAAUCACAUAUGUGAAUUAAAUGAUGCGAUCCUGAUUACUUAGAUAACAUGUAGGUGAAUUAUGUCAUGUGAUCCUGUUUAGUUAUUCAUCAUAUCUUUGAAUUAUGUUAUGCUAUGCUAUCCAGUUUAGAUAGACAUCAGAUAUGUGAAAUUAUGUCAUACUAUCCAUUUUAGUUAAACAAUAUACAUGUCAACUAUUUCAUGCCCUCUUUUUUCCACACUUUCUAUUGUAUCUGUCUCUCAUACAAUGUCUGUACAUUCAACUAUGUUUCCUGUUUAUCAGCCAUUUGAAUUGGAGCGGCUGAUGCCAGUAUCUAGCGGAAUAAAAACAUGGUCUUCAAAUAAAACAGUGCUACCUCUUGGUGGAGAUAGCAACCCGGUUGUACAUGCACAAGAACCAGCCCUACCACACAUAACCCAAACUCUCGCAGAUUGUACCCCUACUGCGAUGGACAAAGAACCAACUUCACCCAAUCUAACCCCAACUCCAGCUGCUAGUAACCCAGUUCCUGUUGACACAACACCAUCUCCACCAUAGAGCUCCCAAACAAGAGCAGUUAGUAAGGCAGCUCUAGUGCCCAAAGGGCCAGUACUAUCACGGCGAACCCCAACUCCACCAGUUAGUACGCCUAUUCCUAUGGAGGAAGCACAACCAGCCAGUCGUAGUUUAGCAUCUAUCGCAUUUGAUGUUGUUAAAUCGUAUGUGUGUAUCUUCCCAUCUUGGAAAUAUUAUACUGAAGAUGAAGGAAAAUGCCAGUUGCAGGUGUUUGUCCAGGAGUUAUGUGUAAGUAAUGUUAUUCGUGGCAAUUACUUUGCUUCGUCCCAUACAUCCUACCUCCAUGAUGGUUAUAAUACAACAAAUUUUUCCCAUUUUUCUCUAUAGAGAAGGACCGAUUUGGAAACUCAGGAUGAGGUAACCUGUGCUAAUACCUCUGCUAUCUUCAAGAAUGCUUGGUGGCAGUAUCGGUAUUACCUGAAGAAAACGUACUUCACCGGCAAAGAAACUCAUCAAAUUACCUUAUGUUCUCCUAAACACAUUUAUUGGACGAUGACUGGGAACGCCAUGUUCUAUACUGGUCCCGAAUCAAGAAGGUGGUAAGGUCUAUGAGCUCAUUUUCUAUUUUUAAGUAUUAUAUCCUUGCGUCUUACUAUACUCUGUUCAUGUAGAACAAGUGCCUAAACCUGAAGAACAACUGUUCUAAUUUAAGAUUCCAUUGCUAUCAUAGUUCAAAAAAGCGCUAGGCGUUAAUUGUGCGUUUUGCCACCGCCUUGCACUUUACUGACCAAAGCGCAUGCUUAUGCGCAGUUAUGCACAGAUUAAGCGUAGUUAUGCGUAAUGCAUUUUACCAACGCCUAGAGCCUAGGCGCGCUUAAGCGCUCACUUAGGCGCGCCUUUUUUAACUACGAUUGCUUUGCUCUUGUAUCACUGUAUUUACUGAUACAAACUUAUUUUUAAAUUGAAGGAUCCAAUCGAAACUCCAAUGGCACAUCAGGUAUGUUCACGCAUGUUUCUUUAACAGGUUUGCUCUUAUCAAUAGCUCUUUUGAUUUCAAUUUCAAUUGUGUAUACAGUUGACUUUCAUAUCAUGCACAUUACUAGCAUCACAACAGAGCCAAUAGUGUUGUUGUACAUGUAGACCCGUGGUACCCAUCUGAAAUCUUGUUGUACCGUGUAGUUUCCCAUGCUUUGUAUUCUUUCACUGCUACUUUGUCUUGAACUAAUAUGAUUUGAACCGUGUCUCUAUUUUGAUUUGGCAAGACAAUGCAGUGACCAUAGGACAUAGAUAUAUGUUUGUUUGAUGCUUUUAUUAUGUACUAGUACUUGGCAAUAGAAGACUUGGUAGUUUAAUCCUGUCCACCUUACUAAUGAACUGGUUCACCGAAAUGAGUUUCAUAUACUAGUAUAUACUAAACUUGUUAUGUGUCUACUUGUUUCUUCUUUUAGAAUGCUGACAGAAUAUUGGGGAAGAGUGCCUUAUUAAGCAAUGGUAAAGGAAGUAAUGCAGAUAAAGUUCAGAAUAGUGACACAUCCUUGUUGGUCUCCAACAAAGCUGAUAAAAUAGCUAAGGAAGACUAUCUUGAAGACAGCGAGACAACCCCAAAGUCAUGUCUUGGUUUAGUGUUCGAGUUACUGGCCACUACCGCUUGCACAAGCUAUUCAAACUCACUGUCUAAAUCAGUUCGGUUUCUUGAGUCUCAACUACAAGAUGAAAGACAUCGAUCAGCUGUGCUGCGACAAGAAGCGGAAGGACUGCGAAAGUCCCUGGAGCAUUCAGAUGCAUACUUUCAGGUGCAAUAGCAAGCGUUGGAGGAUUUUAGCGCCAAACGGGACAAAGCUAAUCAGCUUGCUAAGCUUAUUGCCAGCAUGGUGGAUACCCAGGAUAACGUUGUUGGAAAUAUGCCCUAGAGGCAAUAAUAAAUUAGUUAUUAUUAUUAUAUUUCUUUGUUCAUGAUAAUCGUUUAUUAUCCAUGCUAUAAUUGUAUUGAUAGGAAACUCAGAUACAUGUGUGGAUACAUAGACAACACCAUGUCCUUAGUAAGCAUCUAGUUGACUAGCUCGUUGAUCAAUAGAUGGUUACUGUUUCCUGACCAUGGACAUUGGAUGUUGUUGAUAACGGGAUCACAUCAUUAGGAGAAUGAUGUGAUGGACAAGACCCAAUCCUAAGCCUAGCACAAAGAUCGUGUAGUUCCUAUGCUAAAGCUUUUAUAAUGUCAAGUAUCAUUUCCUUAGACCAUGAGAUUGUGCAACUCCCGGAUACCGUAGGAAUUCUUUGGGUGUACCAAAUGUCACAACGUAACUGGGUGGCUAUAAAGGUACGCUAUGGGUAUCUCCGAAAGUGUCUGUUGGGUUGGCACGAAUCGAGAUUGGGAUUUGUCACUCCGGUUAACGGAGAGGUAUCUCUGGGCCCACUCGGUAGGACAUCAUCAUAAUGUGCACAAUGAGACCAAGGGGUUGAUCACGGGAUGAUGUGUUACGGAAUGAGUAAAGAGACUUGCCGGUAACGAGAUUGAACAAGGUAUCGGCAUACCGACGAUCGAAUCUCGGGGAAGUACAAUACCACUAGACAAAGGGAAUUGUAUACGGGAUUGAUCGAAUCCUUGACAUCGUGGUUCAUCAGAUGAGAUCAUCGUGGAACAUGUGGGAGCCAACAUGGGUAUCCAGAUCCGCUGUUGGUUAUUGACCGGAGAACGUCUCGGUCAUGUCUGCAUGGUUCCCGAACCCGUAGGGUCUACACACUUAAGGUUCGAUAACGCUAGUGUUAUAGGGAAUAGAUGUAUGUGGUUACCGAAUGUUGUUCGGAGUCCCGGAUGAGAUCCCGGACGUCACGAGGAGUUCCGGAAGGGUCCGGAGGUAAAGAUUUAUAUAUGGAAAGUUGUUGUUCGGGUUCCGCGAAAAGUUCGGUUUUUUCCGGUAUUGUACCGGGAAGCUUCCGGAAGGUUCCGGAAGAUUCCGGAGGGGUCCGGAGGUCCGGAAAAUGUUCCACCACGUCCAAUACAGCAGCAUGGGCUGUAAGGGGGCGCCCUAGCCUUAAUGGGCCAGGGGCACCAGCCCCCCCAAGGCCCAUGCGCAUGGGAGAGGGGAAACCCUAAAGGGGAGGGCCUCCACUUGACUUGGGAGGCACUCCUCCCCCCCUUGGCCGCCGCCCCCAACCCUAGAUGGGAUCUAGGGGGCGGCCCCCCUCUCUCCCCACCUAUAAAUAGUGGAUGGGUGGGAGGGCAGCCGGCACUAAGUUCUGGCGCAGCCCUCCCCUUCUCCCAAGUCCUCCCCCUCUCCCGCGGUGCUUGGCAAAGCCCUGCAGGAUUGCCACGCUCCUCCAUCACCACCACGCCGUUGUGCUGCUGCUGGAUGGAGUCUUCCUCAACCUCUCCCUCUCUCCUUGCUAGAUCAAGGCAUGGGAGACGUCACCAGGCUGUACGUGUGUUGAACGCCGAGGUGCCGUCCGUUCGGCACUAGGAUCUCCGGUGAUUUAGAUCACGACGAGUAUGACUCCUUCAACCCCGUUCUCUUGAACGCUCCCUCUUAGCGAUCUACAAGGGUAUGUAGAUGCACUCUCCUUCCCCUCGUUGUUGGUUUCUCCAUAUAUAGAUCUUGGUGACACGUAGGAAAAUUUUGAAUUUCUGCUACAUUCCCCAACAGUGGCAUCACGAGCUAGGUCUAUUGCGUAUAUUCUAUGCACAAGUAGAACACAAAGUAGUUGUGGGCGUUGAUUUUGUUCAAUAUGCUUACCGUUACUAGUCCAAUCUUGAUUCAGCGGCAUUGUGGGAUGAAGCGGCCCGGACCGACCUUACACGUACACUUAUGUGAGACAGGUUCCACCGACUGACAUGCACUUGUUGCAUAAGGUGGCUAGCGGGUGCCAGUCUCUCCCACUUUAGUCGGAUCGGAUUCGAUGAAAAGGGUCCUUAUGAAGGGUAAAUAGCAAUUGGCAUAUCACGUUGUGGCUUUUGCGUAGGUAAGAAACGUUCUUGCUAGAAACCCAUAGCAGCCACGUAAAACAUGCAAACAACAAUUAGAGGACGUCUAACUUGUUUUUGCAGGGUAUGCUAUGUGAUGUGAUAUGGCCAAGAAGAAUGUGAUGAAUGAUAUGUGAUGUAUGAGAUUGAUCAUGUUCUUGUAAUAGGAAUCACGACUUGCAUGUCGAUGAGUAUGACAACCGGCAGGAGCCAUAUGAGUUGUCUUUAUUUAUUGUAUGACAUGUGCGUCAUUGAACAACGCCAUGUAAUUACUUUACUUUAUUACUAACCGGUAGCCAUAGUAGUAGAAGUAAAAAGUUGGCGAGACAACUUCAUGGAGACACGAUGAUGGAGAUCAUGGUGUCAUGUCGGUGACGAUGAUGGAGACACGAAGAUGGAGAUCAAAAGGAGCAAAAUGAUAUUGGCCAUAUCAUGUCACUUUUUGAUUGCAUGUGAUGUUUAUCAUGUUUAUGCAUCUUAUUUGCUUAGAACGACGGUAGUAAAUAAGAUGAUCCCUCACUGAAAUUUCAAGAAAGUGUUCCCCUUAACUGUGCACCGUUGUGAAAGUUCGUCGUUUCGAAGCACCACGUGAUGAUCGGGUGUGAUAGAUUCUUGUUGGAAAUAUGCCCUAGAGGCAAUAAUAAAAGGAUUAUUAUUAUAUUUCCUUGUUCAUGAUAAUUGUCUUCAUGCUAUAAUUGUAUUAUCCAGAAAUCGUAAUACACGUGUGAAUACAUAGACCACAAUAUGUCCCUAGUGAGCCUCUAGUUGACUAGCUCGUUGAUCAACAGAUAGUCAUGGUUUCCUGACUAUGGACAUUAGAUGUCAUUGAUAACGGGAUCACAUCAUUAGGAGAAUGAUGUGAUGGACAAGACCCAAUCCUAAGCAUAGCACAAGAUCGUGUAGUUCGUUUUGCUAGAGCUUUUCCAAUGUCAAGUAUCUUUUCCUUGGACCAUGAGAUCGUGUAACUCCCGGAUACCGUAGGAGUGCUUUGGGUGUACCAAAUGUCACAACGUAACUGGGUGACUAUAAAGGUGCACUACAGGUAUCUCCGAAAGUGUCUGUUGGGUUGACACGGAUCGAGACUGGGAUUUGCCACUCCGUAUGACGGAGAGGUAUCUCUGGGCCCACUCGGUAAUGCAUCAUCAUAAUGAGCUCAAAGUGACCAAGUGUCUGGUCACAGGAUCAUGCAUUACGAUACGAGUAAAGUGACUUGCCGGUAACGAGAUUGAACGAGGUAUUGGGAUACCGACGAUCGAAUCUCGGGCAAGUAACAUACCGAUUGACAAAGGGAAUUGUAUACGGGGUUGCUUAAAUCCUCGACAUCGUGGUUCAUCCGAUGAGAUCAUCGAGGAAUAUGUGGAAGCCAACAUGGGUAUCCAGAUCCCGCUGUUGGUUAUUGACCGGAGCGCCAUCUCGGUCAUGUCUACAUGUCUCCCGAACCCGUAGGGUCUACACACUUAAGGUCCGGUGACCCUAGGGUUGUAUGAAUAUGAGUAUGCAGCAAACCGAAAGUUGUUCGGAGUCCCGGAUGAGAUCCUGGACGUCAAGAGGAGUUCCAGAAUAGUCCAGAGGUAAAGAUUUAUAUAUAGGAAGUGCAGUUUUGGCCAUCGGGAGAGUUUCAGGGGUCACCGGCAUUAUACCGGGACCACCGGAAGGGUCCCGGGGGUCCACCGGGUGGGGCCACCUAUCCCGGAGGGCCCCGUGGGCUGAAGUGGGGAGGGGACCAGCCCCUGGUGGGCUGGUGCGCCCCCCUUGGGCCCCCCUACGCCUAGGGUUGGAAACCGUGGGGUGGGGGGCGCCUCCACUUGCCUUGGGGGGCACUCCACCCCCUGGCCGCCGCCCCCCCUUGGAGAUGCCAUCUCCUAGGGCCGGCGCCCCCCCCCCCCAGGGGGCCUAUAUAAAGGAGGGGGAGGGAGGGCAGCCGCACCCUAAAGUUUUGGCGCCUCCCUCUCCCCUGCUACACCUCUCCCUCUCGCAGAAGCUCGGCGAAGCUCUGCCGGAACCCUGCUGCAUCCACCAGCACGCCGUCAUGCUGCUGGAUCUUCAUCAACCUCUCCUUCCCCCUUGCUGGAUCAAGAAGGAGGAGACGUCAUCCGCUCCGUACGUGUGUUGAACGCGGAGGUGCUGUCCGUUCGGCACUUGGUCCUCGGUGAUUUGGAUCACGACGAGUACGACUCCCUCAACCCCGUUCUCUUGAACGCUUUCGCUCGCAAUCUACAAAGGUAUGUAGAUGCACUACUAUCACUCGUUGCUAGAUGAACUCAUAGAUGGAUCUUGGUGAAACCGUAGGAAAAUUUUUAUUUUCUGCAAUGUUCCCUAACAAUUCUAACGUUCACAUACAACGGGUGUAAGCCAGAUUUACACAUGCGAAACACUUAGGUUGACUUGACGAGCCUAGCAUGUACAGACAUGGCCUCGGAACACAAGAGACCGAAAGGUCGAGCAUGAGUCGUAUGGUAGAUACGAUCAACAUGAAGAUGUUCACCGAUGAUGACUAGUCCGUCUCACGUGAUGAUCGGACAUGACCUAGUUGACUCGGAUCGUGUAAUCACUUAGAUGACUAGAGGGAUGUCUAUCUGAGUGGGAGUUCAUAAGAUGAACUUAAUUAUCCUGAACAUAGUCAAAAGAUUCUUGCAAAUUAUGUCGUAGCUCGCGCUUUAGUUCUACUGUUUUAGAUAUGUUCCUAGAGAAAAUUUAGUUGAAAGUUGAUAGUAGCAAUUAUGCGGACUGGGUCCAUAAACUGAGGAUUGUCCCCGUUGCUUCGUAGAAGGCUUAUGUCCUUAAUGCACCGCUCAGUGUGCUGAACCUCGAACGUCGUGUGUGGAUGUUGCGAAAAUUUGACAUACACGUUUUGAUAACUACGUGAUAGUUCAGUUAAACGGUUUAGAGUUGAGGCACCAAAGACGAUUUCAAAACGUUGCGGAACAUAUGAGAUGUUUCGAGGGCUGAAAUUGGGAUUUCAGGCUCGUGCCCACGUCAAGAGGUAUGAGACCUCCGACGAUUUUCUUAGCCUGCAAACUAAGGGAGAAAAGCUCAAUCGUUGAGCUUGUGCUCAGAUUGUCUAAGUACAACAAUCACUUGAAUCGAGUGGGAGUUAAUCUUCCAGAUGAGAUAGUGAUGUUUCUCCAAAGUCAUUGUCACCAAGCUACUAGAGCUUCGUGAUGAACUACAACAUAUCAGGGAUAGAUAUGAUGAUCCUUGAAGUAUUCACGAUGUUUGACACCGCGAAAGUAGAAGUCAAGUAGGAGCAUCAAUUGUUGAUGGUUAGUAAAACCACUAGUUUCAAGAAGGGCAAGGGCAAGAAGGGAUACUUCAUGAAACAGCAAAACAGUUGCUGCUCUAGUGAAAACCCAAGGUUGAACCCAAACCCGAGACUAAGUGCUUCUGUAAUGAGAGGAACGGACACUAAAGCAGAACCACCCUAGAUACUUGGUAGAUAAGAAGGCAGGCAAGGUCGACGGAAGUAUAUUGGAUAUACAUGUGUACUUUACUAGUACUCCUAGUAGCACCAGGGGAUUAGAUACCGGUUCGGUUGCUAAGUGUUGGUAACUCGAAAUAAAAGCUACGGAAUAAACAGAGACUAGCUAAAGGUGAGCUGACGAUAUGUGUUGGAAGUGUUUCCAAGGUUGAUGUGAUCAAGCAUCGCACGCUCCCUCUACCAUCGAGAUUGGUGUUAAACCUAAAUAAAUGUUAUUUGGCGUUUGUGUUGAGCAUAGACAUGAUUGGAUUAUGUCUAUCGCAAUACAGUUAUUCAUUUAAAGAGAAUAAUGGUUACUCUGUUUAUUUGAAUAAUACCUUCAAUGGUCUUGCACCUAAAAUGAAUGGUUUAUUGAAUCUCGAUCGUAGUGAUACACAUAUUCAUGCCAAAAGAUAUAAGAUAGUAAUGAUAGUACCACAUACUUGUGGCACUGAGUCAUAUUGGUAUAAAAUGCAUGAAGAAGCUCCAUGUUGAUGGAUCUUUGGACUCACUCGUUCUGAAAAGUUUGAGACAUGCGAACCAUGUCUAUUGGUGUAUAUGCAUGAAGAAACUCCAUGCAAAUGGACCGUUUGGACUCACUUGAUUUUGAAUCACUUGAGACAUGCAAAUCAUACCACAUGGGCAAGAUGACUGAAAGCCUCGUUUUCAGUAAAAUGGAACAAGAAAGCAACUUGUUGGAAGUAAUACAUUUUGAUGUAUGCGGUCCAAUGAGUGUUGAGGCACGCAGUGGAUAUCGUUAUGUUCUUACUUCACGGAUGAUUUGAGUACAUACUGAGUAUAUUUACUUGAUGAAACACAAGUCUGAAUUAUUGAAUGGUUCAAGUAAUUUCAGAGUGAAGUUGAAAAUCAUCAUGACAAGAGGAUAAAAUGUCUAUGAUAUGAUCAUAGAGAUGAGUGUCUGAGUCACGAGCUUUGGCACGCAAUUAAGACAUUGUGCAAAUUGUUUCACAAUUAAUACCGCCUGGAACACCAUAGUGUGAUGGUGUGUUCGAACAUCAUAGUUGCAGCCUAUUGGAUAUGGUGCGUACCAUGAUGUCUCUUAUCGAAUUACCACUAUCGUUCAUGGGUUAGGCAUUAGAGACAACCGCACUCACUUUAAUAGGGCACCACGUAACUCCGUUGAGACGACACCGUUUGAACUAUGGUUUGGAGAAAUCUAAGUUGUCGUUUCUUAAAAGUUUGGGGCUGCGACGCUUAUGUGAAAAAGUUUCAGGUUGAUAAGCUCGAACCCAAAGCGGAUAAAUGUAUCUUCAUAGGACACCCAAAACAGUUGGGUAUACCUCCUAUCUCAGAUCCGGAAGCAAAAUAGAUUGUUUCUAGAAACGGGUCCUUUCUCGAGAAAAGUUUCUCUCGAAAGAAUUGAGUGGGAGGAUGGUGGGGACUUGAUGAGGUUUUUGAACCGUCACUUCAACUAGUCUGUAGCAGGGCACAGGAAGUUGUUCCUGUGGCACCUACACCAAUUGAAGUAGAAGCUUAUGAUAGUGAUCAUGAAACUUCGGAUCAAGUCACUACCAAACCUCGUAGGUCGACAAGGAUGUGUACUGCUUCAGAGUGGUACGUAAUCCUGUCUUGAAGGUCAUGUUGCUAGACAACAAUGAACCUACGAGCUAUGAAGAAGCGAUGGUGGGCCCAUGUUCCGACAAAUGGUUAGAAGCCAUGAAAUCCGAGAUAGGAUCCAUGUAUCAAAACAAAGCAUGUACUUUGAUGGACUUGCCCGAUGAUCGGCAAGCCAUUGAGAUAAAUGGAUCUUUACGGUAAUGUCACCGUCUAUGAAGCUCGACUUGUGGCGAAGAGUUUUUCACAAGUUCAAGGAAGUUGACUACGAUGAGAUUUUCUCAUCCAUAGCAAUGCUUAAGUCCGUCGGAAUCAUCUUAGCAUUAGUUGCAUUUAUGAAAUCUGCCAAAUGGAUGUCAAAACGAGUUUCCUUACCAGUUUUCGUAAGGAAAGGUUGUAUGCGAUACAAUCAGAAAGGUUUUGUCGAUCCUAAGGAUGCUAAAAGGUAUGCUAGCUCCAGCGAUCCUUCCAUGGACUGGAGUAAGCAUCUCGGAGUUGGAAUGUACGCUUUGAUGAGAUGAUCAAAGAUUUUGGAUUUAUACAAAGUUUAUGAGAAACUUGUAUUUCCAAAGAAGUGAGUGGGAGCACUAUAGAAUUUCUGAUGAGUAUAUGUUGUUGACGUAUUGUUGAUCAGAAAUGAUGUAGAAUUUCUGGAAAGCAUAUAGGGUUAUUUGAAAAGUGUUUUUUAAUAGAAAACCUAGAUUAAGCUACUUGAACAUCGAGCAUCAAGAUCUAUGAGGAUAGAUCAAAAACGCUAAAUGGUACUUUCAAAUGAGCACAUACCUUGACAUGAUCUUGAAGGUGUUCAAGAUGGAUUAGUCAAAGAAGGAGUUCUUGCCUGAGUUGUAAGGUAUGAAGUUAAGACUUAAAGCUCGACCACGGCAGAAGAGAGAGAAAGGACGAAGGUCGUCCCCUAUGCUUCAGACGUAGGCUCUAUAGUAUGCUAUGCUGUGUACCGCACCGAAAGUGUGCCUUGCCAUGAGUCUGGCAAAGGGGGUACAAGAGUGAUCCAGGAAUGGAUCAUUCAACAGCGGUCAAAAUUGUCCUUGGAGUAAAUAAGGACAUGUUUCUCGUUUAUGGAGGUGAUAAAGAGUUCGGCGUAAAGGGUUACGUUGAUGCAAGCUUUAACACCUAUCCGAAUGACUCUGAGUAGCAGACCGGAUACGUAUAGUGGAGCAACCAUUUGGAAUAGCUCCAAGUGGAGCGUGGAAGCAGCAUUUACAAUAUGACCUAGAGAUUUGCGAAGUACAUACGGAUCUGAAUGUUGCAGACCCGUUGACUAAAACCUCUCUCACAAGCAAACAUGAUCAAACCCCAGAACUCAUUGAGUCUUAAUCACAUGAUGAUGUGACACUAGUAAGCUCUUUGGAUGUUGGUCACAUGGCGAUGUGACCUGUGAGUGUUAAUCACAUAGCGAUGUGAACUAGAUUAUUGACUCUAGUGCAAGUGGGAGACUGUUGGAAAUAUGCCCUAGAGGCAAUAAUAAAUUAGUUAUUAUUAUUAUAUUUCCUUGUUCAUGAUAAUCAUUUAUUAUCCAUGCUAUAAUUGUAUUGAUAGGAAACUCAGAUACAUGUGUGGAUACAUAGACAACACCAUGUCCCUAGUAAGCCUCUAGUUGACUAGCUCGUUGAUCAAUAGAUGGUUACGGUUUCCUGACCAUGGACAUUGGAUGUCAUUGAUAACGGGAUCACAUCAUUAGGAGAAUGAUGUGAUGGACAAGACCCAAUCCUAAGCCUAGCACAAAGAUCGUGUAGUUCGUAUGCUAAAGCUUUUAUAAUCUCAAGUAUCAUUUCCUUAGACCAUGAGAUUGUGCAACUCCCGGAUACCGUAGGAAUGCUUUGGGUGUACCAAACGUCAAAACGUAACUGGGUGGCUAUAAAGGUACGCUACGGGUAUCUCCGAAAGUGUCUGUUGGGUUGGCACGAAUCGAGACUGGGAUUUGUCACUCCGGUUAACGGAGAGGUAUCUCUGGGCCCACUCGGUAGGACAUCAUCAUAAUGUGCACAAUGUGACCAAGGGGUUGAUCACGGGAUGAUGUGUUACGGAACGAGUAAAGAUACUUGCCGGUAACGAGAUUGAACAAGGUAUCGGCAUACCGACGAUCGAAUCUCGGGCAAGUACAAUACCACUAGACAAAGGGAAUUGUAUACGGGAUUGAUCGAAUCCUCGACAUCGUGGUUCAUCCGAUGAGAUCAUCAUGGAACAUGUGGGAGCCAACAUGGGUAUCCAGAUCCCGCUGUUGGUUAUUGACCGGAGAACGUCUCGGUCAUGUCUGCAUGGUUCCUGAACCCGUAGGGUCUACACACUUAAGGUUCGAUGACGCUAGGGUUAUAGGGAAUAGAUGUAUGUGGUUACCGAAUGUUGUUCGGAGUCCCAGAUGAGAUCCCAGACGUCACGAGGAGUUUCGGAAGGGUCCGGAGGUAAAGAUUUAUAUAUGGAAAGUUGUUGUUCGGGUUCCGGGAAAAGUUCGGUUUUUUCCGGUAUUGUACCGGGAAGCUUCCGGAAGGUUCCGGAGGAUUCCGGAGGGGUCCGAAGGUCCGGAAAAUGUUCCACCACGUCCAAUACAGCAGCAUGGGCUGUAAGAGGGCGCCCUAGCCUUAAUGGGCUAGGGGCACCAGCCCCCCCAAGGCCCAUGCGCAUGGGAGAGGGGAAACCCUAAAGGGGAGGGCCUCCACUUGACUUGGGAGGCACUCCUCCCCCCCUUGGCCGCCGCCCCCAACCCUAGAUGGGAUCUAGGGGGGCUGGCCCCCCUCUCUCCCCACCUAUAAAUAGUGGAGGGGUGGGAGGGCAGCCGACACGAAGUUCUGGCGCAGCCCUCCCCUUCUCCCAAGUCCUCCUGCUCUCCUGUGGUGCUUGGCGAAGCCCUGCAGGAUUGCCACGCUCCUCCAUCACCACCACGCCGUUGUGCUGCUGCUGGAUGGAGUCUUCCUCAACCUCUCCCUCUCUCCUUUCUGGAUCAAGGCAUGGGAGACGUCACCGGGUUGUACGUGUGUUGAACACGGAGGUGCCGUCCGUUCGGCACUAGGAUCUCCGGUGAUUUGGAUCACGACGAGUAUGACUCCUUCAACCCCGUUCUCUUGAACGCUUCCGCUUAGCAAUCUACAAGGGUAUGUAGAUGCACUCUCCUUCCCCUUGUUGUUGGUUUCUCCAUAGAUAGAUCUUGGUGACACGUAGGAAAAUUUUGAAUUUCUGCCACGUUCCCCAACAAACGUUUCUUGAGCUCUUCUGAAGUUGUUUCAUUUAUGCUCUUGUUUUGCUGCCGCGUUUAUUUGCACUGGUGGCCAAUUUUGACGGCCAGUGUAUGUAAUAUGCUGCUUUGUUCCCUAUAUUUUCACUGGUGGCGAACUUUGAUGCCCAGUUGAUGUAAUAUGUGUAAUUGCGGUAAUAGGCUAGCCUUAAUUGCUUGCUUAUUUAUUUUCUUAUUGUCUUGUUUAGUUGUUUGCUUGUAGUCACUGCAGUUCUUUUCUGUGUUUUUCUAGUGGCCACAAUAGCCUAUUUUUGGUAACUAGGCCAAAAUAAUCAUGGCAACACAUGGACUGUUGUAACCAUGGGCCUCCUGCAGGCCGUAUGAUCCAUGGGCCUUCGUUCGGCCGUAGGACCAUUGGCCUUCUAUACGGGCCGUAGGAUCCAUCGGCCUUCUGUAUGGGCCUUAGGGGUCAAUGGGCCUUCUACGGUCCGUACUAUCCAUGGGCCUCAUACGGGCCGUAGGAUCCAUGGGCCUUCUACGGGGCGUAUCAUCAUUUCUCCAAUCAUGGGUCGUACUAUUCAUGGACUAUAACGGGCUGUUAAUAGGCCGUAUUUGAUAACUCUAUGAAAACAGCCCAACGUUUUUUUUACAUGAAAAUGGCCCAACGUAUUAACGGUUCGCAAACGGGCCGACUGUAACUACGUGUCACCACGGGUCGUUAAUGGGUAUAAAGUGAUACACUGUUCAUUACGGGCCAGUUUCACCACGGGUCGUUAAUGGGCCAAGAGUUACAAAGGUCCUCAUAUGGGCCGAAAGAAGUCAUGGGCCACACAUGGGCCGGAAGUUAAAAUAGGCUGAAUCAUAUUGGACGGCCCAGAUGACGCUACUGGGCCUAAUUCGGAUAGGGCGUAAUGGGCCCUGGGUUAGCGGGCUGUAAAUGGGCUAUAUGCGAACAGGCCGUUAACAGGCUUUCCGUGGGCCGGCCCGCCACCUUUUAACCAAGUCAAAUGGGCCGGCCUUUUCACAGGAAUGGGCCUCUGUUGGGCCGUGCCACGUGUCGUCGUAUCAUAGGCGCCUUCGGUCCAAUGAGCGGAUGACAUCUGUCCCAACGGUGAGCCGACACGUGUUUCCUCCAGCCAAUGAUGAUUUUACACAUGGAAAAUCCCCAUUGGUCGGGGCUGUUAACGGGUUAUCGGAUCCAAAACCCGACCCGAUAGCUUAACGGCGUUCCGUUACGGUGGAUGCCAUGUGUCAGUCACCCUUGACGAAAGCACUUCUGUGACGCGCAAUUUAUCGUCAUGGAAGUGGACACUUCCGUGAUGAUAAUUUUGGUAAUGUCAUGGAACACUUCUACGACAGCACAGGCAUGACUAUCUUGAUUCUGUCAUGGAUGUACAUGCAUGACAAAAACGCGACCUACUGUGACAAGCACGUAUCAUCACGGAAGUGUAUUUUUUUUGUAGUGAAUGCAACAAUAUAUCCAACAUGUUGUGAUUAUGCUCCAGUGGUACUCGUCCCAUGGACUGGCUUACCGAACGUGAUCAUUUCCAGACCACAAACAUGAAGAACUCAACGACAAUCUCGUGAUCCUUACGGCGAUCACAACCCUGACCAACACUUGGUCUCAAACUCAACACAAUGGCCUUACUGCCAUUACCUUAGUGCAAAUCUCAGUGUGCAAAUUUAUUAAGUGUGGACCCAUGGUGUACCCUACUUUCAAGCGUGUCCGUAAUCGUGGACUCGGCUGUCGAUAGAUUAAUACACUUUGCAGAGGUAGCGCACUGGACCCACACUACGGAACCCAUGGCCUCGCACUCCCAUUCGGGUGGACCAACGGCAUUCCGACGGAACCACUUCAUUGUCAUGACACUCUCCUGGCCACUCCGACUCAAUCCCCAUCGGGCUAGUCCUGGGUGGCCCCGUGUCUACCUCAAGACACCUCAAACCACCGUUGUGGCAAUGAUCCACUCUGGGACCCAAACACUUAACUCAUCAACUGGCACACAAGGUUAUGCCUGCUUACCGGGCCAGGGUACAGCACACCCAUAACCUUCCCUAGAUGGAGGCACCGACCAGAGGCACGACAAUGAAACGCAUUAAGGUCGUCCCAUACCGGCAAAUGUGGUUGCACUGGGUAAAACUCGUUUCAGCGGCACCACGACCCGGUCAACAACAUAUUCAAGUUGAGUUAUUUAUCAGGUUCAACUUAAAGUGAAAGUAACCGAUGUCAUAAUGCCAUGCUAUGCAUCACUAACAUUUGCAUCAAAUAACCAUGAAAAUAACUAAAUCAACUACGCUCCCACGGAGCCAUCACCAACUCAAGAUACUUCUCUGGUUAAGAUCAAACCUCACUUAAACCAGAACCAUUUCUAGCAAUCUCAUCAUUUUUCAUCAUGCAAGAAUAAUAAUUAAACUAAUUAUUAACCUUCAUGAUCAUAUCAUUUUAUUAUUACUCAUAUCUAAGUUCUUGUUAGCUUAUCAGAAAGAUUCAUUUCAAACUUUAUGUAAAUCAUACAUACUUAACAUGACAAGAAUCUAACAGAAUAUAAUUAUCAUAAUAAUUAUUUAAAUGCAUGAAUAAUCAUAAGUUCGUGUGGAAAAAUCACAAAUAUUGAAGUGGCACUAUGAAAAUGUUGUUGUGGCUUGCCUUAGUGCUGAUGAGGUUCACAAACCUCCUGAUGAUCCUCAAGACAAGCUUGCUCUGCUGAAAAUAAAUAAAAUCACAAAAAGAAAACAUAAAGAAACCUUCUGAAAAUUACCAAAAAAAUCUAGACAGCAAGGAAAAAUCCCAUCUCUUGGGUGUUGUUAGAUUUUUGGACAAAGAACACAAUGCAAAAAGAAUCAAUGCAUUUGGACUUAUAGAUAAAAAUUUAUGGCGGUUUGAAGUUUCCUGGAUUUAAGUGAAUUUGAUUUAAAAAGAAAACAGACUGGGGGGUGAUGUCGAAGGAAUAUUGUUCACAGGAAUUUGAAACAUAGAGAAAUAUUGUUCACACAUGGUUCUCCAGAUUUUGGGGUUUUCACCCAAAAAUUGGGAAAACGUGAGAGGUGGGGAAUUUGGACCAACCCAGUGUGAAUAUGUGCCGCAGAAGAGCCCAACGCAAGGGAGUUGUCUAAAACCAGCUGCGGAGGAGUGUGAAAAUUCAGCGUACCAUUGGCCGGAGAGGCUGUCGACGGGACGCCGCCCACCGACAACCCACCCCGUAACUGGUGCGACUCGCCGUGGCCAGCAGGCCCGUGGAUCAUGUCGUCGAGUGCUAGAUCGGGGAGAUCCGGCCUUCUCGGUCCACCAUCUAUUGCGGCUAGCGUGGGAGGCCACUCGCUCUGGAGCAUGCCCAUCGUCUCCUGGAGCUUGGAGAGGCGGGAUUCGAGAUCAGGCUUCCAGGCCGUAAGCGCGUCCACCUGCGUGGACUGGAAGUCGAUCCGCGCUGAGAGGUCCUUGAUGUUAGCGCGGGUGUCCUUGUUGGCCUUGGUCAGGGUCUCCAUGAGCUUGUCGAGGUAUGACUUGAGGGCGGGAUCCAUGGUCGCGAGCAGCUGAUUGCGCUCGCUCGUUUGCCGCCGCGUCUCCAGGGCGUCAACGAAGGGUGGUGAUUGGUGACUGAUACCACGUGUUAAGUACUCUCUUAGUACCCCCAGAAUUGUACUAGAUCGAUUACAAGGAAAAGGUUACAAAUCUCUGGAGGAGGAAGAUGAACUAGGGAAGAAAGGGGAAUUAGGUUACAAGCCGCCGUCGUCCAGUCUGUUCCCAGCCAGGAUGCCCCUCCUCACCUGUUGCGUCCUCUCUUAUCAGUGGGUGGGUACGCUUCUCGGGUCAAACAGGUAGGAAACCCACUAGGGGCCCGUAAACUUAUGGCACGGUCGUCGCUCCCUCCUGGGCCGGCCUUGCUGGGCCACUUCUAUUCGCUGGCUCAGUGCUCCACCUGCAGGUGGUGUGCUAACACCCCCUCUUCCUUCAGAGUCGACUUGUCCCCAAGUCGUUGCAGCCGGGAAGCGAUGCCGCAGAUCUUCGAGAUCCUCCCAAGUGUCCGGAGUUGCUUGAGUGUUCUGCCAACGCACCAGGCCUUGUUCGCGCAUCUUACGGGAACCUCGAUGCCAUUGUUUUUCCAAGAUCUUCACAGGAAUGUUAACCUAUCAGUACAUCAUGGUAAUGAAGAUGAAGCAUUUGCACCUAGUGUUAAUGCCCGCUUGAGCUGGGAGACAUGGAAGACAAGGAAAAUGGAUGAUCCUUCCGGGAGCUGGAGCUCAUACGUGACUUCGUUCAUGCGCCUGAUGAUGGUGUAGGGCCCAAAGUACUUGAAGCUGAGCUUAUGAUUAGCUCUCCUUGCCACAGAGGUUUGAAUAUAUGGUUGCAACUUCAAGAAAACCUGAUCUCCCACUUGAAAUUCGCGAACCGAUCUAUUUUUAUUUGCUUGUGCUUUCAUGAUUUGCUUUGCCCGGACUAGGUGCUGUCGAAGGAUGUCUUGCAUUUGUUGACGCUCCUCGAGCCACUCAUUCAGCUUAGGUAAUGGAGUUGCAUGGUCAGGUACUAUCCCCAGCUGGCGCGGUUCCUGACCAUAUACCACCGAGAAAGGUGUCUUGCCCAAGGUAGAGUGAUAGGUGGAAUUGUACCAGAACUCCGCGAGGGCCAACCAACGACUCCAAUUAGUUGGGGUGCUAUGGACAAAGCAGCGCAGAUAGGUUCACACACAUUGAUUGACCCGUUCGGUCUGGUCGUCUGUUUGAGGGUGAUGAGAAGAGCUCAUUUUAAGUUCAAUCCCUUGUAGCUUGAAGAUUUCCUGCCAAACUUUGCUAGUGAAGAUGGCAUCACGGUUUGAGAUGAGGCCUUCGGGCAUCCCGUGCAACUUGUAAACUUGAUCAAUAUAUAAUUGGGCAAUUGUCUGAGCAGUGUGCGGGGGCUUUACUGGGAGGAAGUGCGCAUACUUGGAGAAGGUGUCAAUGACGACCAAUAUGCAAUUGUAAUUCCUGGAUUGGGGUAGACCUCCGAUGAAAUCUAGCGAGACUAGAUCCCAACAUCGCUUGGCUACUGGCAAGGGAUGUAGUAGCCCGGGGUAUUGAGCUCGGUCUGGCUUAGCUUGCUAACACACCUGGCAUGUUUGGACAUCUCUUUGAUCUGAUGCUUCAUACCCGGCUAGGCAAACAAGUGCUUGAUUCUGCGAUAGGUGGCUGGAAACCCGGAGUGUCCCCCUAUAGCGUUGUCAUGUAAAGCUUGCAUGCUGGAGUUUUGUGCUGUUGCCUAGCCAUACACUCCCUUUGAAUCUUACAAUACCCUUGGUCAGAGUGAACUUGCUAUCAGCGACCGGUGCCACGGCGAGCUGAGUGAUGAGUUGUUGUGUCUUGGGAUCGUUGUCGUACCCUUUGACAAUUUCCUGAAGCUAGGUUGGCUGACACACUGAAAUGGCAUGGAGGUGAGUAGAAUUCUCAACAGGUCGUCUUGACAGAGCAUCAGCAACACUGUUUUAUGUACCCUUGCGAUAGCAGAUCCAAUAUUGGAGCCCUAACAGCUUUGUGAAAGCUUUUUGUUGCCACGGGGUGUGAAGAUGUUGUUCUUCCAAGUGGACUAAGCUGCAUUGGUCUGUCUUAACCAUAAAUUCGCCAAACUGUAGGUAUGGAUGCCAUUGCUCGAUGACCAAGACAAUGGCCAGGUACUCCUUCUCAUAAGUGGACAAACCCUUAUUCUGUGGGCCCACCGCUUUGCUGAGGUACGCUAUCGGGUGCCCAUCUUGUUGCAAAACAACUCCCACUCCAUACUCGCAGGCGUCAGUCUCAAUUGUGAAUGGUUUUGUGAAGUCUGGGAGUGCUAGUGCUGGUGUUGUCGUCAGUGACGUUUUGAGAGCGUCGAAGGCUGAUUGGGUGGCCUCUGUCCACUGGAAUGGUGUAUUUUUGCACAAAAGGUUGGUGAGUGGACGAGCCAGCAUGCCAAAUUGCCGAACAAAUCAUUGGUAGUAUCCGGCCAAUCCUAGAAAGGCUCGAACCUCCUUGACAGAUGUUGGUACCAGCCACGCAGUCACUUGCUGAAUCUUGUCUGAAUCUAUCGAGACCCCUUUUGCAGAAAUGGUGUGACCGAGGUAUUUGAUUUCCUGUUGAGCAAAGGCACAUUUGGACCUCUUCACAUACCACUGGUCCCUUCGGAGGAGAGCUAGCACUUGCCUUAGGUGUUGCAAGUGCAAGGCAAAGGAUCGACUGAAGACUAGGAUAUCGUCAAAAAAACCAUUGCGCAGACCCGUAGGACUGGAUGCUGCGUCACAUUCAUAGCCCCCAAAAAUGUUGGAGGUGCUCCCCCGAGACCACAUGGCACCACUUUGAAUUCGAAAUAGCCCGAGUGCGUUUGAAAUGCAGUUUUGUAUUCCUCCCCUUCUGCCAAUCUGAUUUGGUGAUAGCCGGAGCGCAAAUCAAGCUUGGAGAACCAACACGCCCCUGCUAGCUCAUCCAAAAUAUCCUCAAUGACAGGCACGGGGUACUUGCUGAUGAUGGUCAUCGCAUUCAGCCUCCGAUAAUCAACGCACAUGCGCCAGGUACCGUCCUUCUUCUUGACCAGAAUAAUAGGAGAGGAGAAUGGGUUGCUGCUCCUUUGAAUGAUACCAGCCUUCAACAUUUCAGUGACUUGCCUUUCCACUUCUGUCUUCAAUUCUGGCUUGUGUCUGUACGCUCGUAUGUUGACCGGCUGGGCGCCUUGCAUCAAGGGGGUGGUGUGAUCACAUUCGUGCCGUGGUGGCAAUCCGGUCGGCUCCAGGAAUACAUCCUCAUAAUCUAACAACACUUGCACAAUCUAUGGUGGAAGUUAAGUACACUUGAGAUCGGUGAUAGUGUCAGAAUCUUGAGCAUAACAAAUGUGCACUGCAUAGGCCACCCCUUCUUGUUUUUCCAUACUUGCUAGCUGCACCGUAUUCAGAGUUUCACACUUAUGUGCUUGAGAUGUAACCCCCUGCAAUACAACCAUGAAUCCGUCAUGUUCGAUUUACAUGCACCAUUUCAGCCAAUCGAUGAGCAUGGGGAUGUGAUACUCCAGCCAAUCCAUCCCCAAUAUGACAUCGUAAGAUCCCAAAGGCAGCAAUCUGAAAUUGGUUGAAAACACAUGACCCUGGGCAAACCAAGAGCAGCCUAGUACUUCCUGAGUGCACCACAUUUCUGACCCAUUGGCUACAGCAACUUUGACAGACUUGGGCAUAGAUUGUACCCCUGUAGAUGAGAUGCUAAAUGUUGAGACACGAACGAGGCUGAACUACCGGAGUCCACAAGCAUAAGGACUUCACGCCCCUGGAGCCAGCCAUGUAAUUGUAAGCAACUGGGUGCUUCAGUUCCAGACACGGCAUUGAUAGAGAGCUGCCACACUUGCUCCCCUAUAUCUGUCUGCCCCUACUGUUGUGCAUUGGCCGCUGCCCCUUCUCCUUGAGCGUCCAAACUGAACAGGAUGAGCAUUUCCUCAAUCACGUGCAGUUUAACUGUCGGCGGGCAUACGUGAUCAUGACCCCAUCUCUCUCCACACUUGAAACACAACCCUUUGGCUCGACGAAAUUACACAGGGCUGUGAUUUUGGAUUGAUCACUCCCCGCGCAGGCGGCUUCAGUGUUGCAGCGAUCAUCUGCUGCUGGGGAGAUAGCCGGCGCCCGUGCUGCAGGAGGGGGCAACGGCAGAGGACCCGUUGAGCGAGUCCUCCCCAGAUAGGGUGCCCCUUCAUGGUUGUUGUACCACGGUCCCUUUUGUCCCUCCGCGACUUCCUCUUGCAGAAUCGCCAGGGCACAAGCGGUGUCCAGAUCCUUGGGUCGCUGCACCAUCACCACCGCACGGAUGUCUGUGCGCAGGCCCUCGAUAAACCUCGUCAAGAAAUACAGUGGGUGUACAGCAUCAGAAUAAGAAAUAAGAUGGUUUAUAAGGUUCUCAAAUUGCUCAAUGUAGUCAGAUACAGAGCUAGUCUGGCGAAGGGAGUAAAAUUGGCGGAUAAGUAGCUGAUGCUUAUCGCGGCCGAAUCGUGCACAUAGCAAAUUACAGAAAGCCUCCCAAUAUAGCGUGCUCAGUUUCCCCUGGAUCGACUGCAGCCAGAUGGCUGCCAGACCCGUGAAGUGUAAUGUGGACAUGGGGACGAAGUAGGACUCAGGAAUUUGAAACAUGGAGAAAUAUUGUUCACACAUGGUUCUCCAGAUUUUGGGGUUUUCACCCGAAAAUUGGGGAAACGCGGGAGGUGGGGAAUUUGGACCCAACCCAGUGUGAAUAUGUGUCGCAGAAGAGCCCGACGCAAGGGAGUUGUCUAAAACCAGCUGCGAAGGAGUGUGAAAAUUCAGCGUACCAUUGGCCGGAGAGGCUGUCGACGGGACGCCGCCCGCCGACAACCCACCCCGUAACUGGUGCGACUCGCCGUGGCCAGCAGUCCCGUGGAUCAUGCCGUCGAGUGCCGGAUCGAGGAGAUCCGGCCUUCUCGAUCCACCAUCUGUUGCGGCUAGCGUGGGAGGCCACCCGCUCUGGAGCAUGCCCACCGUCUCCUGGAGCUUGGAGAGGCGAGAUUCGAGAUCGGGCUUCCAGGCCGUAAGCGCGUCCACCUGCGCGGACUGGAAGUCGAUCCGCGCUAAGAGGUCCUUGAUGUCAGCGCGGGUGUCCUCGUUGGCCUUGGUCAGGGUCUCCGUGAGCUUGUCGAGGUAUGACUUGAGGGCGGGAUCCAUGGUCGCGAGCAGCUGAUGGCGCUCGCUUGUUUGCCGCCACGUCUCCAGGGCGUCAACGAAGGGUGGUGAUUGGCGACUGAUACCACGUGUUAAGUACUCUCUUAGUACCCCAGAAUUGUACUGGAUCGAUUACAAGGAAAACGUUACAAAUCUCUGGAGGAGGAAGAUGAAAUAGGGAAGAAAGGGGAAUUAGGUUACAAGCCGCCGCCAUCCAGUCUGAUCCCAGCCAGGAUGCCCCUCCCCACCUGCUGCGUCCUUUCUUAUCAGUGGGUGGGUACGCUGCUCGGGUCGAACAGGUAGGAAACCCACUGGGGGCCCGUGAACUUAUGGCGCGGUCGUCGCUCCCUCCUGUGCCGGCCUUGCUGGGCCACUUCUAUUCGCUGGCUCGGUGCUCCACCUGCAGGUGGUGUGCUAACAAUGUGAUAUGGUAUCUUGCAGAAAUGGAGCCUGACAAUGUAGUGGAAACCCCCACCGCCCGGUAAAACCCAUGAAAGGUUGUAAUUCUGGUUGAUUGUAGGAUUUGGCCCCAUCGAACGUGCUAUUGCAUACAAGUCCGUUGAAGGGAUGUAAUUUUGGAAUUUAAGUGGAUACUUGAUUGUAAGAUUGCUAUCUUUGGAGAAGAUAACACCAUGAGACUAGUGUAAAAAUAAUAAGCUUGUCAUGAACGGUAAAAUGCAGAGUCAUUUCCUACAAAUAGAUAGUCUCACCUCCAUUUGUUCAGUGCAUUGUCUGAAAGCUUGUGUCAGAAGAAACUGGUGAUGGAUAUGGCCCCUUGCCACUGACGAAGGUUGGCAUUGGUGUUGUGAAGAUCUCAGGUGUAAGCGCCAACUCUAUGCCAUUCACAACUGCAAAGCUCUUUUGGUGCACAUAUGGUGCAAAGAAAUAAUAAGAGAAUAAAUAUUGGAACGUUGCUCUCAAGGAAGGCGCAGUACAUCAGAAGAGUCGUACCUAGGGCUGCAAGAAAAGCUCGAGGCUCGUGAGCUGCUCGAGAUCGACUUGCAUUUUGGCUCGACUCGGGAUCGAUUUGAAAGGAAAUGAACUGAGUAUGAGCACUUUAUGUAUCUCGAUCGAGAAACGAGCUGAUCUUGAGCCAGUAUUGGCUCGCUCGGUUUUAGCUCGAUAGCUCGAUAUCAUAUAAGUAUAUUAAAUAAUUUUCAUGUUUAUUACAAAAAAAUGGUUAGUUUAUUACCAUAUAUAUCGUGUGCGAAUUUUUCUCCAUUUUACUUACUAACAAACAUGGAAGCUUAAUUAAGAGCGAAGAAAAUUUGGGCCUCAAUAUGGUGUGAGAUUAGCAGUAUGUUGACUAUCUUGUUAUUUUUGCCAAAAAUUGAGAGCAGAUGCACCUUUGUUUUCUUCUCUUGCUAGUUCGUCUAUGAUAUCUUAUCUCCAGUUGAUAAAGAAUAAGUCCAAAUUUACAGUGACUUCUUCUGUUGUGGCAUAUCUUAUGUGAAAAUGUGUCUCAAUUAUUUAGAAAAAAAUCAUCUUAUUUAGCUCAAAACUAGCUCGAGAUCGACUCGAGAUCGUUACAAGCUGAGCACGAGCCACUUUCUACAGCUCGACCUUGAGCUCCGCUUAAUUUGAGCUCGCUCGAAUUUUAGUAUGAAUUGAGCUGAGCCUAGUCCAACUCGCUCGAACUCGACUCGUUUGCAGCCCUAGUCGUACCAUGUGAGAGAUUGGAUUUGCUACAUGAUUUGGCAUUAGGCUAGAAAUUAGCUCACAUUGCCAUGUCCCUUGAAGCUCGCCAUCCCCCUGGGCGCCCCUAUAUAUUGUUUAACACGAGGUGGAAACAAUUUGCCCGCCGCAGUGAGUGUAUAAAAGACGCACUGCUUGAUUUCUUCAAUGAACAUACACGAGUCGCAGUGGCUGGAGCUGUUGAUUAAAUCCUCCUGGCAAAUAAAAAUGAUCGUGUAUAAAAAAUAUUAAUCAUAUAUUUCAAAUAAUGUUCAAUAUAUACAAAAAAAAGUCACUGAUAUAUACAAAAAAUGUACAAAUGUGUGUGAAACAAUAUAGUCAUCAAACACAAAGUAUUUGGAAAAGAUUUAACCUUUUUCAGCAAUUUGAACAUGUAUAAAAAAAUGUUCCUGAUGUAUAAUGAAAAGUUUAGAACGUGAAUUUGAAAAAUAAACAUUAAAACAUAAUAUAUUUUUUUUAAAUGAUCGUGCAGAAAAAAAAUGUUUUGUUUUUAUGGGAAGUAUCAAAAAAUGUUAAAUUGUAUCAUAAAAUGUUCCUGAUAUAUACAGAAAAUAUAUAAUGUUUAUGAAAAAAGUAGUCAUCAAACAUAUUUUAAAAAGUAAUAUGAAUCAUGCGUUUUAAAAAUGGUAAACAUAUAUAAAGAAAUGUUCAUGAUGUAUACAAAAAUGUAGAACAUUUAUGAAAAAAAGCCAUCAAAGACAUAUAUUUAGAAAAAUGUUAAUCAUGUAUUUACAAAAUCUUGUUAGUGUAUACGAAAAAUGUAUAGUGUGUAUAAANNNNNNNNNNNNNNNNNNNNNNNNNNNNNNNNNNNNNNNNNNNNNNNNNNNNNNNNNNNNNNNNNNNNNNNNNNNNNNNNNNNNNNNNNNNNNNNNNNNNNNNNNNNNNNNNNNNNNNNNNNNNNNNNNNNNNNNNNNNNNNNNNNNNNNNNNNNNNNNNNNNNNNNNNNNNNNNNNNNNNNNNNNNNNNNNNNNNNNNNNNNNNNNNNNNNNNNNNNNNNNNNNNNNNNNNNNNNNNNNNNNNNNNNNNNNNNNNNNNNNNNNNNNNNNNNNNNNNNNNNNNNNNNNNNNNNNNNNNNNNNNNNNNNNNNNNNNNNNNNNNNNNNNNNNNNNNNNNNNNNNNNNNNNNNNNNNNNNNNNNNNNNNNNNNNNNNNNNNNNNNNNNNNNNNNNNNNNNNNNNNAAAAAAAAAGAAAAUGAAGACCGAAGUAAACCAAUGCAAAAAAUGGAAACAGUGAAACCUGAGAACGAAAGAAAGAAAACGGAGAAAAGAAAUAAAGGAAAAGAGAAAAAAGGAAAAAAAACAACAGUGACCCAGAAAGAAACCAAGAAAAAGUUAUUACUCGCUAAUCAGCCCAGUUAAAAGCGCCGUCAGCCCAUAGCCCAUCCGACCGGACCUCGUCCAUUCACAACGGAGCUCACUCAGAUUCAGAAGCCAUCACCGUCACCGUCGCCGCCGCCGCCGCCGCCGCCGCCGUCCUCGCCUGCACGCCUCUCCUCGAGAUCCGCCUCCGCCUGUCCCCGUGCGCGGCCACGAUCUCACGACCCCGAGCCCUACCCUGCGCCUCCCGCCUCCGGUCUCCGAUCCUCCUCCUAGGUAUGUCAGCACGCACGCGCCCUUGCAUCCCGACGGUCAAUGGCUGAUUAGGACUGAUGUGCGCGUCUGCGCUUCUGCUAGAUCCAUUUCAAUGCCCGCUAUGAUUGUUUGUGCCAUGCGAAGAUCUUGGUCAGUUGAUGACCAGAGAAAGGCAGUUUCAGCUUCCCAUUUAGCGCUAUAUGCUGCUCAGUUGAUGUUCAUGUGUUAUAACUGAGACUUAGAAUCGUCAGCAUCUGAGGCAGUGGCAUAGCAAUAUAUCCAUAUGCAGCAGAUCUUAGAUGUAUACCUGGUGAAAGUAGAGGCAGCGGCAUAGCAGUAUAUGCAUGUUCAGAUCUUAGAUGUAUACCUGGUGAAACUAGAGGCGGUGGCCAGAAUUGUUUUCCUAGUGCACCCCUGAAACUCUAAGCUGAAUGUCGCUUCCCAGCGGCGUGUCGUGCUUUCUAAUCUACCUGCGUGUCAUGUCGUCUGAGAUCAUACCUUGCUUUGAAUUUACAUGAGAUAUACUACCCAUGUCUGAAUCUUCACUGGUUAUAAAUAUUAUGACCCUGCAUUAUUACAUCACCGAUUCCUAAUGCAGUUUGUUACUCCGUGUGAUCCUGUUGUAAGCAUUGGGGGCUCAUCGCAGCCUGACCGACUGUCUAAACUGAAUUAGAAUUUCACUAGUCUUUGUACCUGUUCCCCCUCUCUGCAUCUUACUUUAUGCUGAUUCCUCUGCUGGGCCAGCUCCAGAAUGGGUCUCCUCAGCAUCAUCAGAAAAAUCAAGCGCAAGGAAAAGGAGAUGCGUAUUCUCAUGGUGUAAGCGUCCUGCUCCAUUCCUUUUUUCGCCUUCUUAUUUUACCCCAGAUUCCUCCUAUCCAAACGCAUUAUUUAUUCUCGGUUCUUUGCUUGAUAUGUAUGCUUCUUGACUUUCAAGGUUUGUGCCUUUCAGUUCUUUGUUAAUCGUUAUUCUUAUUCUUGAUUGGUUUAUUUCACCGAUGCCAAAUUUACAGCGGCCUCGACAACUCGGGUAAGACGACAAUUGUGCUCAAGAUAAAUGGGGAGGACACCAGUGUCAUCAGCCCUACUCUUGGCUUUAAUAUCAAGACCAUCCAGUACCAAAAGUAUGUACUACAUUCUUUUGCUUAUUUAUCAAGUUAAAUAUGCCAUUACAAGAAACAUCGCUUCCAGCUGAUGUUAUAUUUGAUCAUUCCAUUUCCAACUCAAGCAAUUUAGGUUGAUGAUUCCAAUUUUAUAGCUGAUGUGAGAAAUUUCAGAGUAAUUUAGUUUGAUGAUUCCAAUUUUAUAGUACCUCUAGGGUAUGCCACUUGUAUUUAGUAUUAACUGAAGGCGUUCUGGAAGAUUUCAUAGUAAUUUUAGCACUUGUAAUAACUGUGUAUGCACUGCAUAGUACCACCUUUUUUCAACAACAACAACAACAAAGCCUUUAGUCCCAAACAAUUUUACCACCUUUUUUCAACAGCGUGAGAAUUUUUCAUGUCUACUUCCUCCGUCCCAAAAUAAGUGUCUCAAGCUUAGUACAACUUUGUACUAAAGCUAGUACAAAGUUAAGACACUUAUUUUGGGACGGAGGGAGUAUUAACCAUUGCAAGUAUGCCAUGCAUUCUGUUAUGUGAAGGGCACCUUAGCCUUCGUAGCUGCAUAAAAUGACUAGAGGAAUCAAUCUGGGCUUGUUCUCUGGAAGUUUAGUGAUUAAUCUAUAACUUCAACAGCUUUAGAUGAUUUCGUUUCAAUUACUGCUGGGGGAGAGUACUGUCGUGUAGUGCUUCAACUAAAAUCAACUGAAGCUGGUCCAGCAGUAUUCAAGGUGUGUAACUAGGUUCUCGGGGGAAAGCUAAGAGAGGAUGACAUCCACAGAUAUGUUUGGGAAUUUUGUAGGUUGUAUUGCUCCACAACCACAAACAUCAGUGUAGUUUGGCACCGAUGUUUUCAAGUGGAAAGAGCAGACGAUAAUAUUUAAAUUCAACACCGGCGCAGUGCAAUUUGGAUAACUUAUGAAUUGACAAUUUUAGAGACAGGGUAGGACAACGGUGACACCGAACAGUACUAUCAAGCAAUAUGAUGGUUUGUUUUAGCUUGUUUUUAAGUCUACGUCAGUCAGCAUCUGUUGUGUUUUCAGCCUACUGUGAAGCAUGCUGUGUGGAUGGUCGUAUUUUUAGCAUUUAAAGUAGGCAAUGCAAUUACUAAUCUGCAUUAAUCUGAAAAAGCACUAAACCACAUCUGUUGUGUUUUAGCUUGUUUUCAAGUGGGAAGAGGAGAUGAUAAUAUUUAAAUCCAACAGUGAUGCAGCGCAACUUGUAUAACUUAUGAUCAGAAAAUUGACAAUUUUUAACUGUGACACCAAAUGGUACAAUCAAGCAAACUGUGAUGGUUCACUUUAGCUUGUUUUUAGGUCUUCGUCAGUCGGCAUCUGUUGUGUUUUCAGCCUACUACGAAGCAAGCUGCAUGGGUGGUUGUACUUUUAGCAUUCAAAGUAGGCAAUGCAAUUGAUAAUCUGCAUUAAUCUGAGAAAGUAGUAAAUCACAUUGGUGAAAAUACAACAUAUUUGGAUUGAAAUUUUGACAGCUGCUUGAUGCUCAUUACUCAUGAAUCAUGGUGGUCAAAAACUCAAAAUGCAAUUAGUACAGCCAUAGGGAACAGCAGAACAAAUUCCGAAGAAUUGAUAAUGGCGCUGAUUGUGGCAGGUACUCGCUGAACAUAUGGGAUGUUGGGGGGCAGAAGACCAUCCGUUCGUAUUGGAGGAACUACUUCGAGCAGACUGACGGUCUAGUUUGGGCGGUUGACAGUUCCGAUGUCCGAAGGCUCGAUGAUUGCCGUGCUGAGCUCCACAAUCUUUUGAAAGAAGAGGUAAAUUGCCUAGUGAAUACCACUGACCUUCUGCUUUAGCGUGCUUUGCCUUGAAAUUUUGCUUCAAAUUACUUUGCUGAAUACUAGCAAUUGCUGUCUAGCAUCAGGAAACUCUUGGGACUGCAAAUUUGAUUACCUGGCAUGUUUGUGCUUAACUUAUGUGCUAUCUUGUUCAACUAUUUGGUGAUCCUUAAAGUAUUGCUUACAGAGACUGGCUGGAUCAUCGCUGUUAGUUUUCGCGAAUAAGCAGGACAUUCAGGGCGCUUUGAAGCCCGACGAAAUCGCCAAGGUAAAACACACUAUCACUAGUCCACUAGUAUGUAUAUAUGGACCCUCAUGUAUCGGUCAAUCUUCUUACCUGGAGUCGGAUGAUGUUAUGAUCCACUUGUGAUCUUCAAUUAAGGAAUAGCCAAAACCUCGGAAAAUAAUCCCAGCAAGCUUAUACAUCACAUACAUACUAGUUUGUGGUCUUUGCUCGAGAUGCUCUUUGUCUUCUUUAAUUGACAUGUUCAGUUGUGUCUUCUGAGUUCGAUGGUAACCGAGUUGAGUUUUUGGAUCCAGGUUCUGAACCUUGAAGCGAUGAACAAGGACCGGCACUGGAAGAUCGUCGGCUGCAGCGCCUACACCGGGGACGGCCUGCUCCAGGGCUUCGACUGGCUGGUCCAGGACAUCGCCUCCCGCAUCUAUGUCCUCGACUGAAACAACAACCAAACUCUGGACAUUUAGCCAUAUGCACCACUGUUAUUGGUUACACAGCCAUAGGCAUGCUGCUGCUUUGGCUGCCUUGUAACAUGUAUGUAAUUUGAUAAGUUUGAACCAAACCAUAGAUGACACUUUUGUUAUGCAAUCUCCUUGCUCAGUUGGAUAGCGUUGGAGACGGCAAGUUUUGCAUCUUAUUCAGCACAGAACACAAAAGAUCCUUGGAUUGAAGUUCCAUUAAUCAGAUCAAGUUUUAUUUCUAAGCAACUCGGGAACAUGAAGUUGAAAUCGCUAGUAAUCACAGAUCAGCAAAGCAAUGUAGCACAUCAUCAGAUCAAGAUUAUGUGAAAGACUAUGCUGAAUUGGCAGCAAGUUUUGCAUGCUUCACAGAGCAAUUCAAUCCUUAUAGCUUGAAGAAAGUUGAAUGGAUGCUUCAGAACAAGAGAAAUUUAAGGAACAAAGAGAGAGGAUAUUUCGCAGCUAUGACUUGCAUUUUCUUCAUCCAUUUAAACUUGUUCAAACAUAGGAUAUUCCAACAUCACAUCCCAAUCCAUGACAGAAGGGGAUUGCUGCAUCACCGACUGACCGACCGACCGACCGACUGAAAGAUAGUAACACAUGUUGUUUCUUCCUCGCGUAACCAGCUCUAAUUAACCCCGGACAGAGCGACACUCGAGCUCGCGAUCAAAAACACCACACACACGACGACUCAGACUGACACAGGAACACGACGACACCGAAGAUAACUUGCUAACGAAGACGACGACGACGACACGGUAGAUAGAUCGAUAACUGGGAGAUUCGAGGCUCAGUUCCUCCACUG
rnacentral:lncRNA from 1 species